UACGAAGGGGGCUAGCGUUGUUCGGAAUUACUGGGCGUAAAGGGCGCGUAGGCGGUGUGUCAAGUCAGGCGUGAAAGCCCCGGGCUCAACCUGGGAACUGCAUCUGUGACUGCAUCGCUGGAGUACGGUAGAGGGGAUGGAAUUCCGCGUGUAGCAGUGAAAUGCGUAGAUAUGCGGAGACACCGAUGGCGAAGGCAAUCCCCUGGACCUGUACUGACGCUCAUGCACGAAAGCGUGGGGAGCAAACAGG
rnacentral:rRNA from 1 species